rnacentral:rRNA from 1 species
UGGGGAAUAUUGGACACUGGGGGGAACCCUGAUCCAGCCAUGCCGCGUGUGUGAAGAAGGCUUUAUGGAUGUAAAGCACUUUAAGCGUGGAGGAGGGUACUGGUACUAAUACUACCAGGAACUGGACGUUACUCGCAGAAUAAGCACCGGCUAACUCUGUGCCAGCAGCCGCGGUAAUACAGAGGGUGCGAGCGUCAAUCGGAAGUACUGGGCGUAAAGCGCGCGUAGGUGGUUCGUUAAGUUGAAUGUGAAAGCCCCGGGCUCCACCUGGGAGCUGCAUCCAAGACUGGCGAGCUAGAGUGGGGCAGAGGGUGAUGGAAUUUCCUGGGUAGCGGAGAAAUGCGUAGAUAUAGGAAGGAACACCAGUGGCGGAGGCAACCACCUUGGCUCAUACUAACACUGAGGUGCGAAAGCGUGGGGAGCAAACAGG